AUUGAACGCUGGCGGCAUGCCUUACACAUGCAAGUCGAACGGUAACAGGUCUUCGGAUGCUGACGAGUGGCGAACGGGUGAGUAAUACAUCGGAACGUGCCUAGUAGUGGGGGAUAACUACCCGAAAGAGUGGCUAAUACCGCAUGAGAUCUACGGAUGAAAGCAGGGGAUCGCAAGACCUUGUGCUACUAGAGCGGCCGAUGGCAGAUUAGGUAGUUGGUGGGAUAAAAGCUUACCAAGCCGACGAUCUGUAGCUGGUCUGAGAGGACGAUCAGCCACACUAGGACUGAGAAACGGCCCAGACUCCUACGGGAGGCAGCAGUGGGGAAUUUUGGACAAUGGGCGCAAGCCUGAUCCAGCAAUGCCGCGUGCAGGAUGAAGGCCUUCGGGUUGUAAACUGCUUUUGUACGGAACGAAAAGCCCCGGGUUAAUACCCUGGGGUCAUGACGGUACCGUAAGAAUAAGCACCGGCUAACUACGUGCCAGCCGCCGCGGUAA
rnacentral:rRNA from 1 species